AAUGAACGCUGGCGGCGUGCUUAACACAUGCAAGUCGAACGAGAAAGUCCUUCGGGGCGAGUAAAGUGGCGCACGGGUGAGUAACGCGUAGGCAAUCUACCCUCAAGACUGGGAUAACAGUGCGAAAGCGCUGCUAAUACCGGAUACGAUUCAUGACCGGGAGGUGAUGAAUGAAAGCCGGCCACUCAGAGAAGCUGGUACUUGGGGAUGAGCCUGCGUCCUAUCAGCUAGUUGGUGGGGUAACGGCCUACCAAGGCGACGACGGGUAGCUGGUCUGAGAGGAUGAUCAGCCACACUGGCACUGAAAUACGGGCCAGACUCCUACGGGUGGCAG
rnacentral:rRNA from 1 species